UGCAAGUCGAACGAUGAUCCCAGCUUGCUGGGGGAUUAGUGGCGAACGGGUGAGUAACACGUGAGUAACCUGCCCUUAACUCUGGGAUAAGCCUGGGAAACUGGGUCUAAUACCGGAUAUGACUCCUCAUCGCAUGGUGGGGGGUGGAAAGCUUUAUUGUGGUUUUGGAUGGACUCGCGGCCUAUCAGCUUGUUGGUGAGGUAAUGGCUCACCAAGGCGACGACGGGUAGCCGGCCUGAGAGGGUGACCGGCCACACUGGGACUGAGACACGGCCCAGACUCCUACGGGAGGCAGCAGUGGGGAAUAUUGCACAAUGGGCGAAAGCCUGAUGCAGCGACGCCGCGUGAGGGAUGACGGCCUUCGGGUUGUAAACCUCUUUCAGUAGGGAAGAAGCGAAAGUGACGGUACCUGCAGAAGAAGCGCCGGCUAACUACGUGCCAGCAGCCGCGGUAAUACGUAGGGCGCAAGCGUUAUCCGGAAUUAUUGGGCGUAAAGAGCUCGUAGGCGGUUUGUCGCGUCUGCCGUGAAAGUCCGGGGCUCAACUCCGGAUCUGCGGUGGGUACGGGCAGACUAGAGUGAUGUAGGGGAGACUGGAAUUCCUGGUGUAGCGGUGAAAUGCGCAGAUAUCAGGAGGAACACCGAUGGCGAAGGCAGGUCUCUGGGCAUUAACUGACGCUGAGGAGCGAAAGCAUGGGGAGCGAACAGGAUUAGAUACCCUGGUAGUCCAUGCCGUAAACGUUGGGCACUAGGUGUGGGGGACAUUCCACGUUUUCCGCGCCGUAGCUAACGCAUUAAGUGCCCCGCCUGGGGAGUACGGCCGCAAGGCUAAAACUCAAAGGAAUUGACGGGGGCCCGCACAAGCGGCGGAGCAUGCGGAUUAAUUCGAUGCAACGCGAAGAACCUUACCAAGGCUUGACAUGAACCGGAAACACCUGGAAACAGGUGCCCCGCUUGCGGUCGGUUUACAGGUGGUGCAUGGUUGUCGUCAGCUCCGGUCCGGGAAAUGUUGGGUUAAGUCCCGCAACGAGCGCAACCCUCGUUCUAUGUUGC
rnacentral:rRNA from 1 species